rnacentral:rRNA from 1 species
UAUUCUGAGGCGUGAUGGGGAAGGCCAUAUAGGCCGAAGUACAUGAUUCCAUGCUUCCAAGAAAAGCAUCUAGAGAGAGAAGUAGUGCCCGUACCGCAAACCGACACAGGUAGAUGAGGAGAGAAUCCUAAGGCCGGCGGAAGAAUUGCAGUUAAGGAACUAGGCAAAUUGACCCCGUAAGUUCGCGAGAAGGGGUGCCUGCGAGAGCAGGCCGCAGAGAAUAGGCCCAAGCAACUGUUUAGCAAAAACACAGGUCUCUGCUAAAGCGUAAGCUGAUGUAUAGGGGCUGACGCCUGCCCGGUGCUGGAAGGUUAAGGGGAACACUUAGCGCAAGCGAAGGUGUGAACUUAAGCCCCAGUAAACGGCGGCCGUAACCAUAACGGUCCUAAGGUAGCGAAAUUCCUUGUCAGGUAAGUUCUGACCCGCACGAAUGGCGUAAUGACUUGGGCACUGUCUCAACUGCAAAUCCGGCGAAGUUGUAGUGCGAGUGAAGAUGCUCGCUACCCGCGAUUGGACGGAAAGACCCCGUAGAGCUUUACUGUAGCUUAGCAUUGAAUUCCGGUAUUGUCUGUACAGGAUGGGUGGGAGACUGGGAAACUAGGGCGUCAGCCUUAGUGGAGUCAACCUUGGGAUACCACCCUGACAGUACUGGGGUUCUAACAGGACGCCAUGAAUCUGGUGACUGGACAUUGUUAGGUGGGCAGUUUGACUGGGGCGGUCGCCUCCUAAAAAGUAACGGAGGCGCCCAAAGGUUCCCUCAGAACGGUCGGAAAUCGUUCGUAGAGUGCAAAGGCAGAAGGGAGCCUGACUGCGAGACAUACAAGUCGAGCAGGGACGAAAGUCGGGCUUAGUGAUCCGGUGGUACCUCGUGGGAGGGCCAUCGCUCAACGGAUAAAAGCUACCUCGGGGAUAACAGGCUGAUCUCCCCCAAGAGUCCACAUCGACGGGGAGGUUUGGCACCUCGAUGUCGGCUCGUCGCAUCCUGGGGCUGUAGUAGGUCCCAAGGGUUGGGCUGUUCGCCCAUUAAAGCGGCACGCGAGCUGGGUUCAGAACGUCGUGAGACAGUUCGGUCCCUAUCCGUCGCGGGCGUAGGAAAUUUGAGAGGAGCUGUCCUUAGUACGAGAGGACCGGGAUGGACUGACCUCUGGUGCACCAGUUGUUCCGCCAGGAGCAUGGCUGGGUAGCUAAGUCGGGAAGGGAUAAACGCUGAAAGCAUCUAAGCGUGAAGCCUCC